UCUGCAGGUUGAUAUUUAAGUCUUUUGUUAAACCUCCGGGCUCAACCCGGAAUCUGCAAAGGAAACUAUCUAUCUUGAGUAUGGUAGGGGUAAAGGAAUUUCCAGUGGAGCGGCGAAAUGCGUAGAUAUUGGAAAGAACACCAACAGCGAAGGCACUUUACUGGGCCAGUACUGACACUCAGAGACGAAAGCUAGGGGAGCAAACA
rnacentral:rRNA from 1 species